UAUAGUUUUUAAAUUUAUUCAUUCCAAGGCUCUUAGGGAGUGCUCAGUGGCGUGCCCGUUGCCUCUCAUAUUUCUUUCUUCCCUCAGUCUUUUUGGGAGGGCCUCUCCCGUCUGUUUCUUCCCAUCUUCCCUGUUAUCAUCCUGAGACUCGAUAGUUCUUGGAUAGUCCGGGAGGUGGCAGGGAACCCGAGUUCGGAGCCUCGACCGACCGACCAGAACCUCCAGACGGGAAAUUGGAGCAGGUGGUGUCGUUCCCGGACGCUGAGGACGCUCUCCGCCCCUAACCCACAGCCAAACGAUCCUAAAAGUAAAAACACUGAGUUUCUGAGUCAAGACUGAGCUGGCGGGGGGGGAGGGGGUACCGAGUAGGCGAGGUUAGGAAGCCCAGCGGGUCCCCAGCAGAGAAAACGGAUGAGACGCCUCGGCCCGCGGUCUCCAGAAUUCGCCUGGGAGGUGGGGUGGCGCUACGGCGCCGCCUUUCUGGGGAGCCGCCUCGGGCUCUGGAUGUCCGCUGGGGCCAGACGCUUGGGUCCCGACCUGCGGUUCGCACUUCCCAGGUUUCUUCCCCAGGGAACAGAGCUUGAGCAGGGGGCCACCCCCGCGUCCUACCGGAGCUCUGAGGUGCUGUCAGGCGAGGAGAGCGAACGCGCAGGGCCAGAUUCUGUGGGCGCCGGAGAUCAGGCCCACUGAGCCGCAGCUGAACUUAGGCGGGGCAGGAAAAAGGAUGAGGUGGGGGAAGGCGCUGGGUUCCCGGAACCCCAAGGGGACACUGAGCUGAGUACGUAUCGCUUGGGAUCCAGGUGUCCUCGUUUUGGGAUGUCUGACAGGUGUCCCCACGGUAUGAGAAGUGGGACUGGGUACCCCCUAUUUUCUGGUGUGUUUUUUUGUUUGUUUGCUGUUUGUUUUUUCUUUUGAGAUGGACCACGUUUCCUAUCUCGGAAAAUGGUACCACUUCUUUGUGCAAGCCUACCCCUGUUCCCUCAUCCCUCGUUCAGUCCAACAGCAAAUCUGUCCAGUCUUCUAAAUGUAUCUCAGGUUCAGUAGCCCCGCCUCCUCGUCCCUGCCCAUCUUCUGCUGGACCAGUCCGCCAUCUUGUGACCGGACUUGGGAAUAGCGUGGUACUUCCCGGCGGCCUCCACUCUUGACCCAAAUGCAAUGUGCAGCCAUGGCAAUCUUUUACAAACAGAAAUCCGAUCAAGUUACUCCUCUGCCGAAAUCCCUCAGGUAAGUUUGUUCCUGUCAAUUGGGAACCCCCUCAACCACUUCCAUUCCCCAAAUACCUGCGCUGCUACCGAUGCCUCUUGGAGACCAAGGAGUUAGGGUGCCUUCUGGGAUCUGACAUCUGCCUCACCCCGGCUG